GGUCCCUAUUCCUCUUCUUCUUGACUCUCCCAACCUUAAUCCUCGAUUCCCCAAUUCCAACCACCCCAUCCCCAUCCAUGAUGCUGGCACCGUUGAGUGGAAGACUAGAAGGAUACCUACUUAGUUCAAAAUCACCAACGAAGCCAUGACCUCCACCUUUGCCUCUACAAACCCCUACAUUGCCUCCCCACCAAUGGUCCCAAGCUUUCGAUCUUUCCUACUUCUAUGGAUGUGGGGUCCUGCAUG
rnacentral:lncRNA from 1 species